ensembl:lncRNA LINC00240 long intergenic non-protein coding RNA 240
UCCACACCCUUUUUGUGGGUGGAGAGUUUGUCUUCACUUGUGGUAGACUGGAUUCCUGAAAAUGACUGAAACAGUAUCCCUCGUUCCCUUCUGCAAUGUGAGCUUGGCACCUCCUCAGCUAGAAGUAGAGUCUGUUUCCCUUCACCUUGAAUUUGGUUUGGGUUUGUAACUACUGUGAGCAAUGGAAUGCAGUAAAAAUAACAUUUUGUGAUUUCUCAGCCCAGGCAGUAAGAAAACAUAUCAGCUUCCACUUUUACCUUUAAGGAGAAGCCAGCUCCCAUGUUAAGAAGUUCAAAUACCUAGAGACUGCGAUGGUUUGCAGAGGCUCAAGCUAACCACAUGGAAAGACAUGGAGAGAUAUUCCUUGCCAACCCUCAACUACUCCAACUAUUCUAAGACAUCAAACCUGUCACCCACCGGUCUGAAGAGGAGGAUGAGAGACAAAGAAAAAAGUUGUCUGGCUGCCUCUGCUGUCUACAGAUUGAAGAAGAUCCAUCCAGCUGAGCCCAGCCUAGACCAGCUGACUUCUCCAAUAAGCCUGUAUGAAAUAAAUGCUUAUUGUUAUG